UACGUAGGGUGCAAGCGUUGUCCGGAUUUAUUGGGCGUAAAGAGCGUGUAGGCGGCCUGACAGGUCUGCUGUGAAAACUCGAGGCUCAACCUCGAGAUGUCGGCGGAAACCGUCUGGCUAGAGUCCGGAAGAGGAGAAUGGAAUUCCCGGUGUAGCGGUGAAAUGCGUAGAUAUCAGGAGGAACACCUGCGGUGUAGACGGCUUACUGGACGGUAACUGACGCUGAGGCACGAAAGCGUGGGUAGCAAACAGG
rnacentral:rRNA from 1 species